GACGAACGCUGGCGGCGUGCUUAACACAUGCAAGUCGAACGGAAAGGCCCUGCUUUUGUGGGGUGCUCGAGUGGCGAACGGGUGAGUAACACGUGAGUAACCUGCCCUUGACUUUGGGAUAACUUCAGGAAACUGGGGCUAAUACCGGAUAGGAGCUCCUGCUGCAUGGUGGGGGUUGGAAAGUUUCGGCGGUUGGGGAUGGACUCGCGGCUUAUCAGCUUGUUGGUGGGGUAGUGGCUUACCAAGGCUUUGACGGGUAGCCGGCCUGAGAGGGUGACCGGCCACAUUGGGACUGAGGUACGGCCCAGACUCCUACGGGAGGCAGCAGUGGGGAAUAUUGCACAAUGGGCGGAAGCCUGAUGCAGCAACGCCGCGUGCGGGAUGACGGCCUUCGGGUUGUAAACCGCUUUCGCGUGUGACGAAGCGUAAGUGACGGUAAUGGGUAAAGAAGCACCGGCUAACUACGUG
rnacentral:rRNA from 1 species